rnacentral:rRNA from 1 species
UACGGGGGGGGCAAGCGUUGUUCGGAAUUACUGGGCGUAAAGGGCUCGUAGGCGGAUUGUUAAGUCAGGGGUGAAAUCCUGGAGCUCAACUCCAGAACUGCCUUUGAUACUGGCGAUCUCGAGUCCGGGAGAGGUGAGUGGAACUGCGAGUGUAGAGGUGAAAUUCGUAGAUAUUCGCAAGAACACCAGUGGCGAAGGCGGCUCACUGGCCCGGUACUGACGCUGAGGUGCGAAAGCGUGGGGAGCAAACAGG